rnacentral:rRNA from 1 species
GACGAACGCUGGCGGCGUGCUUAACACAUGCGAGUCGAACGGUGAAGCGCCUUCCUUUUUGGUGGGUGUGGAUGAGUGGCGAACGGGUGAGUAACACGUGAGUAACCUGCCCCCUUCUUCUGGAUAACCGCAUGAAAGUGUGGCUAAUACGGGAUAUUCUGGGUCUGUCGCAUGAUGGGUCUGGGAAAGAUAUUGUUUCGGUGGGGGAUGGGCUCGCGGCCUAUCAGCUUGUUGGUGGGGUGAUGGCCUACCAAGGCGGUGUCGGGUAGCCGGCCUGAGAGGGUGGACGGUCACACUGGGACUGAGACACGGCCCAGACUCCUACGGGAGGCAGCAGUGGGGAAUAUUGCACAAUGGGCGCAAGCCUGAUGCAGCGACGCCGCGUGAGGGAUGGAGGCCUUCGGGUUGUGAACCUCUUUCGCCAGUGAAGCAGGCCUGCCUCGUUUGUGGGUGGGUUGACGGUAGCUGGAUAAGAAGCGCCGGCUAACUACGUG